rnacentral:misc_RNA from 1 species
UCCGAGUUAUCCCCGGCAGUCUCCUAUGAGUCCCCGGCCGAACCGCUGGCAACAUAGGAUGAGGGUUGCGCUCGUUGCGGGACUUAACCCAACAUCUCACGACACGAGCUGACGACAGCCAUGCACCACCUGUUAUGAGCCCUUGCGGACACCGUAUUUCUACGGCUUUUCCCAUAAUGUCAAACCCAGGUAAGGUUCUUCGGGUCGCAUCGAAUUAAGCCGCAUGCUCCGCCGCUUGUGCGGGGACCCGUCAAUUCCUUUGAGUUUUAGCCUUGCGGCCGUACUCCCCAGGCGGGGUACUUAAUGCGUUAGCUUCGGUACAGCAACCGUUGGUCGGGUCGCCACACCUAGUACCCAAAGUUUACGGCGUGGACUAC